UACGGAGGAUCCAAGCGUUAUCCGGAUUUAUUGGGUUUAAAGGGUGCGUAGGUGGCCUGUUAAGUCAGGGGUGAAAGACGGUAGCUUAACUAUCGCAGUGCCCUUGAUACUGAUGGGCUUGAAUGAACUAGAGGUAGGCGGAAUGUGACAAGUAGCGGUGGAAUGCAUAGAUAUGUCACAGAACACCAAUUGCGAAGGCAGCUUACUAUGGUUUUAUUGACACUGAGGCACGAAAGCGUGGGGAUCAAACAGG
rnacentral:rRNA from 1 species